rnacentral:rRNA from 1 species
UGAGCAACCUGCCCUUGACUCUGGAAUAAACAGCUGGAAACAGCUGCUAAUACCGGAUACGACCUCCGAUGGCAUCGUCUGGAGGUGGAAAGCUCCGACGGUCAAGGAUGGGGCUCGCGGCCUAUCAGCUUGUUGGUGAGGUAACGGCUCACCAAGGCUUCGGACGGGUAGCCGGCCUGAGGAGGGCGACCGGCCACACGUGGGACUGAGAUACGGCCCAGACCUCCGUAGGGACGG